CUGACGAGUGGCGGACGGGUGAGUAACGCGUAGGAAUCUGCCCAAUAGUGGGGGACAACCCGGAGAAAUCCGGGCUAAUACCGCAUACGCCCUACGGGGGAAAGGAGGGGAUCUCUUUGGAGACCUUUCGCUAUUGGAUGAGCCUGCGUCGGAUUAGCUUGUUGGUAGGGUAACGGCCUACCAAGGCGACGAUCCGUAGCUGGUCUGAGAGGACGAUCAGCCACACUGGGACUGAGACACGGCCCAG
rnacentral:rRNA from 1 species